rnacentral:rRNA from 1 species
AACGCUUUGUGCUUAAUUGAUAUGACGAGCUUGCUCUGAUUUGAUUUUUUGAUUUCAAAGAGUGGCGAACGGGUGAGUAACACGUGGGUAACCUACCUCUUAGCAGGGGAUAACAUUUGGAAACAAGUGCUAAUACCGUAUAAUACCAACAACCGCAUGGUUGUUGGUUGAAAGAUGGUUCUGCUAUCACUAAGAGAUGGACCCGCGGUGCAUUAGCUAGUUGGUAAGGUAAUGGCUUACCAAGGCAAUGAUGCAUAGCCGAGUUGAGAGACUGAUCGGCCACAAUGGGACUGAGACACGGCCCAUACUCCUACGGGAGGCAGCAGUAGGGAAUCUUCCACAAUGGGCGCAAGCCUGAUGGAGCAACGCCGCGUGUGUGAUGAAGGGUUUCGGCUCGUAAAACACUGUUAUAAGAGAAGAACGACACUGAGAGUAACUGUUCAGUGUGUGACGGUAUCUUACCAGAAAGGAACGGCUAAAUACGUGCCAGCAGCCGCGGUAAUACGUAUGUUCCAAGCGUUAUCCGGAUUUAUUGGGCGUAAAGCGAGCGCAGACGGUUAUUUAAGUCUGAAGUGAAAGCCCUCAGCUCAACUGAGGAAUUGCUUUGGAAACUGGUUGACUUGAGCGCAGUACAGGAACGUGAAACUCCAUGCGUAUUGGCAAAUGC